ensembl:snRNA U6 U6 spliceosomal RNA
GUGUUGCUUUAGCAGCACAUAUACAAAAAUUGGAAUGAUACAGAGAUUAGCAUGAUGCCUGACCAAGGAGGACAUGCAAAUUAUGAAAUGUUUUAUAUUUUU